GGCGACGGUUGUCCCGGUUUAAGCAUGUAGGCUGGUUGUCCAGGCAAAUCCGGAUAAUCAAGGCUGAGGUGUGAUGACGAGGCACUACGGUGCUGAAGUAACAAAUGCCCUGCUUCCAGGAAAAGCCUCUAAGCAUCAGGUAACAUCAAAUCGUACCCCAAACCGACACAGGUGGUCAGGUAGAGAAUACCAAGGCGCUUGAGAGAACUCGGGUGAAGGAACUAGGCAAAAUGGUGCCGUAACUUCGGGAGAAGGCACGCUGGUGUGUAGGUGAAGUCCCUGCGGAUGGAGCUGAGACCAGUCGAAGAUACCAGCUGGCUGCAACUGUUUAUUAAAAACACAGCACUGUGCAAACACGAAAGUGGACGUAUACGGUGUGACGCCUGCCCGGUGCCGGAAGGUUAAUUGAUGGGGUUAUCCGUAAGGAGAAGCUCUUGAUCGAAGCCCCGGUAAACGGCGGCCGUAACUAUAACGGUCCUAAGGUAGCGAAAUUCCUUGUCGGGUAAGUUCCGACCUGCACGAAUGGCGUAAUGAUGGCCAGGCUGUCUCCACCCGAGACUCAGUGAAAUUGAACUCGCUGUGAAGAUGCAGUGUACCCGCGGCAAGACGGAAAGACCCCGUGAACCUUUACUAUAGCUUGACACUGAACAUUGAGCCUUGAUGUGUAGGAUAGGUGGGAGGCUUUGAAGCGUGGACGCCAGUCUGCGUGGAGCCAACCUUGAAAUACCACCCUUUAAUGUUUGAUGUUCUAACGUUGGCCCCUUACCGGGGUUGCGGACAGUGUCUGGUGGGUAGUUUGACUGGGGCGGUCUCCUCCCAAAGCGUAACGGAGGAGCACGAAGGUUAGCUAAUCCUGGUCGGACAUCAGGAGGUUAGUGCAAUGGCAUAAGCUAGCUUGACUGCGAGCGUGACGGCGCGAGCAGGUGCGAAAGCAGGUCAUAGUGAUCCGGUGGUUCUGAAUGGAAGGGCCAUCGCUCAACGGAUAAAAGGUACUCCGGGGAUAACAGGCUGAUACCGCCCAAGAGUUCAUAUCGACGGCGGUGUUUGGCACCUCGAUGUCGGCUCAUCACAUCCUGGGGCUGAAGUAGGUCCCAAGGGUAUGGCUGUUCGCCAUUUAAAGUGGUACGCGAGCUGGGUUUAGAACGUCGUGAGACAGUUCGGUCCCUAUCUGCCGUGGGCGCUGGAGAAUUGAGGGGGGCUGCUCCUAGUACGAGAGGACCGGAGUGGACGCAUCACUGGUGUUCGGGUUGUCAUGCCAAUGGCACUGCCCGGUAGCUAAAUGCGGAAGAGAUAAGUGCUGAAAGCAUCUAAGCACGAAACUUGCCCCGAGAUGAGUUCUCCCUGAGACUUUAAGUCUCCUGAAGGAACGUUGAAGACGACGACGUUGAUAGGCCGGGUGUGUAAGCGCAGCGAUGCGUUGAGCUAACCGGUACUAAUGAACCGUGAGGCUUAACCUUACAACGCCGAAG
rnacentral:rRNA from 1 species